CACAAUAAACAUAUGAAGGCUGCACCGCCAACAGGCGGCAAGGCUGGAGUAUUUUAUUACCCUUGUCUUUUGCGCACUUGUUGUUUCCUGGGCGGGUUCGCCCGCCUCCAGGACCACAUGAUAAACCUUUUUUUAUGCAGUUGCAAUCAGCGUCAGUACAACAAAUGUAAAUCAUUUA
rnacentral:misc_RNA from 1 species